CCUACGGGAGGCAGCAGUGAGGAAUAUUGGUCAAUGGCCGGAAGGCUGAACCAGCCAUGCCGCGUGAAGGUCAGUGCUCUAUGGGCGUUAAACUUCUUUUGUGCGGGAGCAAUAAUGGUCACGUGUGGCCAGACGAGAGUACCGUACGAAUAAGCAUCGGCUAACUCCGUGCCAGCAGCCGCGGUAAUACGGGGGAUGCAAGCGUUAUCCGGAUUUAUUGGGUUUAAAGGGUGCGUAGGCGGUGAGGUAAGUCAGCGGUGAAAUGCCCCCGCCCAACGGGGUGAAGUGCCAUUGAUACGGCCUUGCUGGAAUGCGGAUGCCGAGGGAGGAAUGUGUGGUGUAGCGGUGGAAUGCAUAGAUAUCACACAGAACACCGAUUGCGAAGGCAUCUCACGAAUCCGCGAUUGACGCUGAUGCACGAAAGCGUGGGUAUCAAACAGGAUUAGAUACCCCAGUAGUC
rnacentral:rRNA from 1 species